rnacentral:rRNA from 1 species
ACGCAAUAGAUACCCCGGUAGUCCACGCCCUAAACCGAUGUCUACUAGUUGUUGGGAGGAGUAAAAUACUCUUAGUAAACGCAGCUAAACGCGUGAAGUAGACCGCCUGGGGAGUACGGUCGCAAGAUUAAAACUCAAAGGAAUUGACGGGGGCCCGGCACAAGCGGUGGAUUAUGUGGAUUAAUUCGAUGCAACGCGAAAAACCUUAACCUGGCCUUGACAUGCUACUAACGAAGCAGAGAUGCAUUAGGUGCCCGAAAGGGAAAGUAGACACAGGUGCUGCAUGGCUGUCGUCAGCUCGUGUCGUGAGAUGUUGGGUUAAAGUCCCGCAACGAGCGCAACCCUUGCCAAUAAUUGCCAUCAUUUAGUUGGGCACUUUAUUGGGACUGCCGGUGACAAACCGGAGGAAGGUGGGGAUGGCGUCAAGUCCUCAUGGCCCUUAU